rnacentral:rRNA from 1 species
GACGGAGGAUGCAAGCGUUAUCCGGAAUGAUUGGGCGUAAAGCGUCCGCAGGUGGCAGUUCAAGUCUGCUGUCAAAGACCGGGGCUUAACUUCGGAAAGGCAGUGGAAACUGAACAGCUAGAGUAUGGUAGGGGCAGAGGGAAUUCCUGGUGUAGCGGUGAAAUGCGUAGAUAUCUGGAGGAAUACCGGUGGCGAAGGCGGCAUCCUGGACCGACAUUGACGCUGAACGGCGAAAGCUAGGGGAGCAAACGGG